CUAUAAUGGCCACAUACAUAUCAACUUGAAAGACUUGGUACAAAGUCUUUCAAGAUCCGGUGGCCACAUACAUAUCAACUUCUUUGGGUCAUUAUAACAUGUUAAUGUCAGUCAACGAUUUUUGACUGCAGUGUUAUACACGUAAACUUUCUAUCAAUAGCCAAAAUUUUAAUCUCCCAGUUAAAUUUUUGUUGUGUGUUCUGGACUGGUCCAAGGCUUGGUGUAUUGGUCCAAGUUUGGUGGUGACAAUAGGCCAAAUACCACAUAGAGGCCUGAACACGAAACUUUAGCUGUGUCAGUCUUUAGCAGGCUUUGGUUUUGGUGGGUUUUGUACUUGAAGCUGUGUCGAUUUAAACUGCAAUUGUAGUUGCUCAUGAAAGUGGUCAUCUUUUAGGUGCUUGACUUCAAGGAAUUCAUGUAGAUGAAACUAUUGGCACUUCAUCUCCUUCUGAUGAGAUGCACAUGGAAUCUGAUGAUGGUAUCUUUAUAUCGGAGGUUGAUAUUAUUACGUCAUCAUAGAAAUGGAAGUUGACAAGUGAGAUAGUACCAGUG